rnacentral:lncRNA from 12 species
CAAGAAUGUCACCAUAAUAAGCUGGGCUUGAGGAAGGUUUUGGGAGCUGGAAAAUAAAAGUCUUGGAACCCAGCAGCUGAGAUGAGAGCAGAUCCCUGAAUCAAGAGCCUAAAUCCUGAGUCUGAGACCCACCACUUCUGCAAAAAAGAAAUCGCUUAUUGAUUCUCAUCAGAAUAUUAAAAAAACAUUUGGCUGUGCUGUGAAACUCCUACUCUCAGCAUGAGUCUUCUAGAAGGUGCUGGGCUGGAGGUACGCGAGAGGCUAUGGGAGUGGAGAGGAAUACUCCCUUCUGACUUCGUUGGAGAAAUGUGGGCUGAUGCCAGGGCUCUGGAGGAGAUGAUGCUGAUAGAAGGAUCUAGGGGACAAAGGCAGGGAAAAGGCAUUCCACGCAUUGGGAGACUAGUGUCAGGAGACAGGUAUGGAGAGCUGCUGGUGGGGAUCUAAGGGCAGUGGGUGCUGCUGGAGUAUGGUGUGAGGCAAGGUACGCUGGGGGUGGAGGCAAGGGCCCUCCUGGGCCGUCUUAUGCGCUCUGCUGAGGAAUGUGGCUUUGCUCUGUGCAGAGGUGCUGAGUUGCCGCUGCAGGGAUUUGGGCAGGGGAGCCAGGGGAGCUGUAACCCUCAC